CAUGUUGUAUUCACAUGAAGAUAAAAUUGGAACGAUACAGAAAAGAUUAGCAUGGCCCAAGGAAGACACGCACAAAUUGAGAAAUGGUCCAAAAAAAU
rnacentral:snRNA from 1 species